rnacentral:rRNA from 1 species
GAGGAAAAGAAACUAACAAGGAUUCCCCUAGUAGCGGCGAGCGAAGCGGGAAGAGCUCAAAUUUGUAAUCUGGCACCUUCGGUGUCCGAGUUGUAAUCUCGAGAAGUGUUUUCCGCGCUAGACCGCAUGUAAGUCUGUUGGAAUACAGCGUCAUAGGUGGUGACAACCCCGUACGUAAUGCGGAUGCCUAGUGCUUUGUGAUACACUUUCGAAGAGUCGAGUUGUUUGGGAAUGCAGCUCAAAUUGGGUGGUAAAUUCCAUCUAAAGCUAAAUAUUGGCGAGAGACCGAUAGCGAACAAGUACCGUGAGGGAAAGAUGAAAAGCACUUUGGAAAGAGAGUUAAAAGUACGUGAAAUUGUUGAAAGGGAAACGCUUGAAGUCAGACUUGCGUAUUGGAGUUCAGCCGCAAGGUGUAUUCUUCAGUUUGCAGGCCAGCAUCAGUUUUCGGGGGUACAAAAGGGUAAGGGGAAGGUGGCAGCUUCGGCUGUGUUAUAGCCUCUUACUGGAUGUAUCCUUGGGGACUGAGGACUGCAGCGCACUUUUUGCAAGUCCCUCGGGACUUUCUGCGCUUAGGAUGCUGGUGGAAUGGCUUUAAACGACCCG